rnacentral:rRNA from 1 species
AUACGGAGGGUGCAAGCGUUACUCGGAAUCACUGGGCGUAAAGCGCGCGCAGGCGGCUAUUUAAGUUGGAUGUGAAAGCCUACGGCUCAACCGUAGAACUGCAUCCAAAACUAUUUAGCUAGAGUGUGGGAGAGGCAGAUGGAAUUAGUUGUGUAGGGGUAAAAUCCGUAGAGAUAACUAGGAAUACCAAAAGCGAAGGCAAUCUUCUGGAACACUACUGACGCUGAGGCGCGAAAGCGUGGGGAGCAAACAGGAUUAGAAGCCCCAGUAGUCC